UACGAAGGGGGCUAGCGUUGCUCGGAAUCACUGGGCGUAAAGCGCACGUAGGCGGCUUCUUAAGUCAGGGGUGAAAUCCUGGAGCUCAACUCCAGAACUGCCUUUGAUACUGAGAAGCUUGAGUCCGGGAGAGGUGAGUGGAACUGCGAGUGUAGAGGUGAAAUUCGUAGAUAUUCGCAAGAACACCAGUGGCGAAGGCGGACUCACUGGCCCCGAUACU
rnacentral:rRNA from 1 species